rnacentral:tRNA from 1 species
AUUUACAUAGUUUUAAAAAAAACAUUAUACUUUCAUUAUAAAAUUAGACCAAAUCUUGUAAAUA